rnacentral:pre_miRNA from 1 species
UAGAAGCUGGUUUCAGGUGGUGGCUUAGAGUGUAGUCAUUAUCUAGCACCAUUUGAAAUCAGUGUUCU